ensembl:lncRNA
CCUCAUUUUACCACAAUUCAGCCACCCUCCAAGAAGGUACGGUAGUGAACUGGUCUUAGGCUAGCAUACACAAAAGGAACUGAGGCUUGUGGGUGGAUAUGACUUCUCUAAUAUCCCACAGGGAGGCUAUAUGGCAGGGGUUGAAUGAGAUCGGGUAAAGAUGCUCAGAAUUUGGACUUGAUUACCUGCUCAGGAAAUCUCUCAAGCAAACACCACCUCUCCAGAUGUAUCCCCACCCCACCUUAGUAACAAGCUGCUGUAAAGAUCUUGGGCCAGCCAGGAACCUCUGAGCCUCUAGACAGCCUCAGCAAGUCUCUCUUUGUGGGAAGAAAGAUUUUCCCAUGGAGUUACCCAUGACAGUAAAGACUAGAGCGGAAGGGAUAGCUCAGUAGAUCUUGGUAAAGCCCAACGAUUACUGUAUCUACUGCAGAUUAUUGG